AUACAAAUUAUUUCUGUAUAUUGCUCGUUUCAUAUUUGUUUGUUUCAUAGUAUUUGCUCGUUUCAUAUGAUAACUACCUAGGAAUAAUGAGUGUUAAUGAGUGUUUCAUUUGUGUAUGAAUCCCUCGAGCGGUAAACCGAGGGAAGGUAGCUCAGGGAGGGAGGUCAAGCCGGCAUUCUAUCUGUGCUAUAGCAGCCGCACACACAUUGUUGGAUUUAAACCUGUGGAGUUAUUUCCUGUGAGCGCCAGAGAUUGUUGCUGGCGUGGUGGCGGACUCCUCCCCUCACACCGCAGCUGGAUGCCUGGAACACAAGCCCCGCACAGCUCUCCACGUACCGGCUCGUUAGCACCACACUAAACCAACCCAGAACCUGAGCCUGAAAAUUGGCCUUCCACUCUUCCCUCUCGCAACAUUUUAUUUCUUUCUCUCAUUUGUUCUUCCCUUUCAUUCUCCCACUCUGCUCUUCUUCGCUCUUCCGUGUUCUUUUAAAUCAUGACAUUUGAAUUCCUCUUGUCUGUUCGAGUGAAGCAAAUAGGACUUUGCUUCGUUCAGAGUUCAAGUACUAUAGGGUUGUACCAUUGCCAACAAAACCUUUUUCGCCGUGCUUUUAUCAAGAGAUCUCAAAAUUUCCGUGGUAUUAUUCAUUUCAGCUUAGGCUCCAGCACACUUGAACGCUGUAGGCUCCAGCACACUUGAACGCUGUAUGGUUUCAGUGCAAGACAAAUGAAGCUAUCUAUCUAGUUGCUAUCGGAUAUAGUUUUUAAUCAGCAGGAAGCAGAAAGCAAAGGUGAAUGAGUGAAAAGUGAGAAAAAGAUAUCUUUCCUUGAUCAGAACAACUUAAUACGUUUUCUUCCCCAAAUCGUCUUCAGUUACACAAGACCUCUAACCUAACCCUACAAACAAUGACGAAACAUUCUGGCAAUAAAAAAAGGAAAAGCAGCGUUUCAACACGUCCUGAGAGCAAGACAGAUCCUGGAGGGCUGGACUCGACUGGACUCAGCUCUCUGGACGUCUCUUACUCCUCAACAAAGCGAGGCGAGGCAAGGCGACCAGCGGGGCUCAUAUACCCGACCCCGCCAUUCAGGGGAAAGCCUCCUGAUCCGCUCUGACCGCCUCACGCACUUGCACCGGCUAAGGCAAAGCAAUAAAAGGAAGCAAAAGGAAGACGAUGCUGCUGCUAAACUCAGGAUGAAACUGACCGCACAGAUAUAUCUUCUUCUUUACUUCCCACGACCUGGACACAUUUCUAAAAGGCAAGGCAAGGGAAGGUGAACUGAAGCGAAAAGAUGAAAAUAAGUAAAGGGAGAGAAGUGUA